rnacentral:rRNA from 1 species
UCCAGAGUGGAUCCUGAGUACGGCGGGACACGUGAAACCCCGUCGGAAUCCGGGAGGACCAUCUCCCAAGGCUAAAUACUCCCUAGUGACCGAUAGUGAACCAGUACCGUGAGGGAAAGGUGAAAAGCACCCCGGAAGGGGAGUGAAAGAGAUCCUGAAACCGUGUGCCUACAACUAGUCAGAGCCCGUUAACGGGUGAUGGCGUGCCUUUUGUAGAAUGAACCGGCGAGUUACGGUAUCGUGCAAGGUUAAGCU